rnacentral:rRNA from 1 species
AGAACGAACGCUGGCGGCAUGCCUAACACAUGCAAGUCGAACGAGACCUUCGGGUCUAGUGGCGCACGGGUGCGUAACGCGUGGGAAUCUGCCCUUGGGUACGGAAUAACAGUGAGAAAUUACUGCUAAUACCGUAUGAUGUCUUCGGACCAAAGAUUUAUCGCCCAGGGAUGAGCCCGCGUUGGAUUAGCUAGUUGGUGGGGUAAAGGCCUACCAAGGCGACGAUCCAUAGCUGGUCUGAGAGGAUGAUCAGCCACACUGGGACUGAGACACGGCCCAGACUCCUACGGGAGGCAGCAGUGGGGAAUAUUGGACAAUGGGCGAAAGCCUGAUCCAGCAAUGCCGCGUGAGUGAAGAAGGCCUUAGGGUUGUAAAGCUCUUUUACCCGGGAAGAUAAUGACUGUACCGGGAGAAUAAGCCCCGGCUAACUCCGUGCCAGCAGCCGC